UACGUAGGGUGCGAGCGUUGUCCGGAAUUACCGGGCGUAAAGAGCGCACAGGUGGUUGAUUAAGUCUGAUGUGAAAGCCCACGGCUUAACCGUGGAGGGUCAUUGGAAACUGGUCGACUUGAGUGCAGAAGAGGGAUGUGGAAUUCCAUGUGUAGCGGUGAAAUGCGCAGAUAUCAGGAGGAACACCGAUGGCGAAGGCAGGUCUCUGGGCCACUACUGACGCUGAGAAGCGAAAGCAUGGGGAGCGAACAGGAUUA
rnacentral:rRNA from 1 species